rnacentral:rRNA from 1 species
AGUGAACGCUGGCGGUAGGCCUAACACAUGCAAGUCGAACGGCAGCACAGUAAGAGCUUGCUCUUACGGGUGGCGAGUGGCGGACGGGUGAGGAAUACAUCGGAAUCUACUUUUUCGUGGGGGAUAACGUAGGGAAACUUACGCUAAUACCGCAUACGACCUACGGGUGAAAGCAGAGGAUCUUCGGACCUUGCGCGAUUGAAUGAGCCGAUGUCGGAUUAGCUAGUUGGCGGGGUAAAGGCCCACCAAGGCGACGAUCCGUAGCUGGUCUGAGAGGAUGAUCAGCGACACUGGAACUGAGACACGGUCCAGACUCCUACGGGAGGCAGCAGUGGGGAAUAUUGGACAAUGGGCGCAAGCCUGAUCCAGCCAUACCGCGUGGGUGAAGAAGGCCUUCGGGUUGUAAAGCCCUUUUGUUGGGAAAGAAAAGCAGCAGGUUAAUACCCCGCUGUUCUGACGGUACCCAAAGAAUAAGCACCGGCUAACUUCGUG